rnacentral:rRNA from 1 species
GAUAAAAAGGGAAAGAUUUAUUGGUAAGAGAUUAGCCUGUAUUGUAUCAGUUAGUUGGUGGGGUAAUGGCCUACCAAGACGAUGACGCAUAACUGGUUUGAGAGGAUGAUCAGUCACACUGGAACUGAGACACGGUCCAGACUCCUACGGGAGGCAGCAGUGGGGAAUAUUGCACAAUGGACGAAAGUCUGAUGCAGCAACGCCGCGUGGAGGAUGACACAUUUCGGUGCGUAAACUCCUUUUAUAUAAGAAGAUAAUGACGGUAUUAUAUGAAUAAGCACCGGCUAACUCCGUGCCAGCAGCCGCGGUAAUACGGAGGGUGCAAGCGUUACUCGGAAUCACUGGGCGUAAAGAGCGUGUAGGCGGAUUGAUAAGUUUGAAGUGAAAUCCUAUAGCUUAACUAUAGAACUGCUUUGAAAACUGUUAAUCUAGAAUGUGGGAGAGGUAGAUGGAAUUUCUGGUGUAGGGGUAAAAUCCGUAGAGAUCAGAAGGAAUACCGAUUGCGAAGGCGAUCUACUGGAACAAUAUUGACGCUGAGACGCGAAAGCGUGGGGAGCAAACAGGAUUAGAUACCCUGGUAGUCCACGCCCUAAACGAUGUACACUAGUUGUUGUGAGGCUCGACCUUGCAGUAAUGCAGUUAACACAUUAAGUGUACCGCCUGGGGAGUACGGUCGCAAGAUUAAAACUCAAAGGAAUAGACGGGGACCCGCACAAGCGGUGGAGCAUGUGGUUUAAUUCGACGAUACACGAAGAACCUUACCUGGACUUGACAUAGUAAGAAUGAUUUAGAGAUAGAUUAGUGUCUGCUUGCAGAAACUUGCAUACAGGUGCUGCACGGCUGUCGUCAGCUCGUGUCGUGAGAUGUUGGGUUAAGUCCCGCAACGAGCGCAACCCUCGUCCUUAGUUGCUAACAGUUCGGCUGAGAACUCUAAGGAGACUGCCUACGCAAGUAGGAGGAAGGUGAGGAUGACGUCAAGUCAUCAUGGCCCUUACGUCCAGGGCUACACACGUGCUACAAUGGGGUAUACAAAGAGCAGCAAUACGGUGACGUGGAGCAAAUCUCAAAAAUGCCUCCCAGUUCGGAUUGUAGUCUGCAACUCGACUACAUGAAGUUGGAAUCGCUAGUAAUC